AUGUAACCAUUAACGUAUUUUAAUGUAAUUAUAUAUUAUUUAUGCAAGCUUCGAAUAACUAUAAAUAAUAAGAACUUAUAAAAUAAGAUAAAUUGUAAAUACAACUAAUAUAUUCAAUUCCAUGCAUCAUACUACAUCUGACCGACGCUAUAUACAAUAAUAUAUUCAAUUUCAUCCAGAAAAUAUAUAAGUCAUGCAAUUUAAAAACUAAAAACACCAUUAUAAGCCAAAAAUUGACACGUUGAUAUCCACAAUAAUAACUAUAUUUCCUAAAUUAUCCUCGCCGGUGUUCUUCUCCGGUGCCGUAAAAUCACAUACGAGCUCUCUUGAGUGAAGUUAACGUAACUUUAGCACCUAAAGGAGACGCGGCGACCUCGAUAUCGAACGAAUCGUAUCGCCGGAAAAGUUCAACAACAAACAACCGAGUGAUCAACACCACAAAGUCUUUUCCGGCACACUGUUUGUUCCCCACCGUCGGCCCUUCCGUCUCCGGUCCGUUAGACCACGUCACGUACUUCAAAAGCUCCUCCCCGGCUCCGACAAACCGGUCUGGCACAAAUUCUUCCGGACGGUCGAACACUUUCGGAUCCUUGGUUGCAAACGGUUGGUACCCGAACAACAUUUCGCCUUCUUUGACUUUGAAUACGGCGUCGUGUGACUCGAUCAUCAUGUCGCGUUUUGCCUUCCCGUAUUGCAAUGCCACCGGAGGUUCGAUCCUAAGUUGACUCGUACACUACGGAUUUCAUCAACGGCAUCUGCUCCAUCGCGGCCAUCGUCACCUUCCCGCCGUGAUUCUUGAUCGCGCCUCGGAUCUCCGCCGCCAAUUGGGUAUGCAAAUUCGUACCCGCCCGACCAAUCCAUUUAAGCGUGUUCGGAAACAAAAUCUUGAUCCCACCAAACGUAUUAAAACAAAUUGUAAACAAAAUGUUGUGAACCGCUUCCUCUUUCGAAAUCCCCAACGAUUCGGCAUGUUUAAUAAUCGGAGACGAAAACGACUCAAAAAACUCAUAAAGUUUGUUAUAAUUUUUCUUUAUAAGCGCGGGCGGGAGCCGGAAAGUAUGUAGAAGCGGCUCCUCCACGAACCACGGAAGCCCAAGACGGAGUAACGGCCCGAGGUUGAAUAACACCCACGUGCUAAUUAACUUGGGGCCAUCUUUUCCAAUCUUGGUUUCUUCCGGGUUGGUUUCCAAAUACGCCCGGCCCAGAAACCGGAACGCCGCUUGUUCACCGGCGUCGUUGAAAAGGGCUUUACCCUUUUGGGCCAGCUCGGAUUCAAGCCCAUCAAAAAGUUCGUUAUAAGUCGUUUCAAAUUCCGGCAAGACUCUUCUAAUUGAUGAUUUAAGCAUGAAAAACACCAUGUUUUUUAAAGGGCCAUGUUUGGGCUCAGAUGGGUCAAGAUAGGAGAGGACACGGUGGCCGCCGGUGAGCUCGGUGGAGGGCAUGUAAGUUCCGGUGAACAAAUCUUUCUUUUCAACUUUAGAAACAUCGAAAAGGGUUGGGAAGCUUUUGGCAUCGAGUAAAACGACGACGUUUGGGUUGUUGGAGAUAAACGGGCCGGGUGGCAUGUUGGCCCGGAACACCGUUGACUGGAAUUUAUGAACCCGAGAUUUAAAAUAUUCAUCCCGGCCACCGGGGCCGUAAAAGUAUUCGAAGCGGUCUUUAAGUGGU
rnacentral:lncRNA from 1 species